AUUUAGGUAGCUUAAUUAUAAAGCACAUUUCUGAAGAAAAUGACAUGGGCCGUCCCCCUAAAUA
rnacentral:tRNA from 1 species